rnacentral:rRNA from 1 species
AUACGUAGGGGGCGAGCGUUGUCCGGAAUGAUUGGGCGUAAAGGGCGCGUAGGCGGCGCGGUAAGUCUGGAGUGAAAGUCCUGCUUUCGAGGUGGGAAUUGCUUUGGAUACUGCCGCGCUUGAGUGCAGGAGAGGUUAUCGGAAUUCCCGGUGUAGCGGUGAAAUGCGUAGAGAUCGGGAGGAACACCAGUGGCGAAGGCGGGUAACUGGACUGCAACUGACGCUGAGGCGCGAAAGUGUGGGGAGCAAACAGGAUUAGAUACCCUGGUAGUCCACACUGUAAACGAUGAAUGCUAGGUGUAAGAGGUAUCGACCCCUUUUGUGCCGGAGUCAACACAAUAAGCAUUCCGCCUGGGGAGUACGGCCGCAAGGUUGAAACUCAAAUGAAUUGGCGGGG